rnacentral:rRNA from 1 species
UACGUAGGGUGCGAGCGUUAAUCGGAAUUACUGGGCGUAAAGCGUGCGCAGGCGGUUCGUUGUGUCGGUGGUGAAAUCCCCGGGCUUAACCUGGGAAUGGCCAUGGAAACUGGCGAACUGGAGUGCGGCAGAGGGGGGUGGAAUUCCGAGUGUAGAGGUGAAAUUCGUAGAUAUUCGGAGGAACACCAGUGGCGAAGGCGGCUCACUGGUCCAUUACUGACGCUGAGGUGCGAAAGCGUGGGGAGCAAACAGG